rnacentral:rRNA from 1 species
GAGUAAACGCUGGCGGUAGGCCUAACACAUGCAAGUCGAACGGCAGCCCAGUAAGAGCUUGCUCUUACGGGUGGCGAGUGGCGGACGGGUGAGGAAUACAUCGGAAUCUACUUUUUCGUGGGGGAUAACGUAGGGAAACUUACGCUAAUACCGCAUACGACCUACGGGUGAAAGCAGGGGAUCUUCGGACCUUGCGCGAUUGAAUGAGCCGAUGUCGGAUUAGCUAGUUGGCGGGGUAAAGGCCCACCAAGGCGACGAUCCGUAGCUGGUCUGAGAGGAUGAUCAGCCACACUGGAACUGAGACACGGUCCAGACUCCUACGGGAGGCAGCAGUGGGGAAUAUUGGACAAUGGGCGCAAGCCUGAUCCAGCCAUACCGCGUGGGUGAAGAAGGCCUUCGGGUUGUAAAGCCCUUUUGUUGGGAAAGAAAAGCAGCAGGUUAAUACCCCGCUGUUCUGACGGUACCCAAAGAAUAAGCACCGGCUAACUUCGUG